UUUCCGUAGGUGAACCUGCGGAAGGAUCAUUAUUGAAUAUGCUUGAUAGGUUGUAGAUGGCCCUUCGGAGUAUGUGCACGCUUAUCUUGACUUAAUUCAUCCACCUGUGCACCUUUUGUAGUCUUGGGGGUUGAGAUCGGUCGACUAUCGGAUGUCCAAGGUCAUUCCGGAUGUGAGGAAUGCUGAGUGCGAAAGCAUACAGCUCUUCUCAAAUUACUUGUCUUCCUCGAUUACUAUGUAUUCAUAUACCACAUAGUAUGUUGUAGAAUGUGAUCAAUGGGUCUAUGUACAUAUAAUAAUAAUAUACAACUUUCAGCAACGGAUCUCUUGGCUCUC
rnacentral:misc_RNA from 1 species